AAAUAAGUACCUCAAUGACAAGUUGUCAGAAAGACUCACUAGAAAUGAAAGCCAACUCAGUGACCACACCUCUUCAGACAUGUCCUCUGAAAACUGGCUCCAAAACCAUAGCCUGGUGGCCAAGAAGCUCACCCUCAUGGAUGCCUUGACUGCGACGAUGGUGCCCCACAGCGCCACCUAUGUUCCCAUCCUGAAUAAGCCUGUUG
rnacentral:lncRNA from 1 species